GACGAACGCUGGCGGCGUGCUUAACACAUGCAAGUCGAACGGAAAGGCCCUGCUUUUGUGGGGUGCUCGAGUGGCGAACGGGUGAGUAACACGUGAGUAACCUGCCCUUGACUUUGGGAUAACUUCAGGAAACUGGGGCUAAUACCGGAUAGGAGCUCCUGCUGCAUGGUGGGGGUUGGAAAGUUUCGGCGGUUGGGGAUGGCCUCGCGGCUUAUCAGCUGGUUGGUGGGGUAGUGGCUUACCAAGGCUUUGACGGGUAGCCGGCCUGAGAGGGUGACCGGCCACAUUGGGACUGAGAUACGGCCCAGACUCCUACGGGAGGCAGCAGUGGGGAAUAUUGCACAAUGGGCGGAAGCCUGAUGCAGCAACGCCGCGUGCGGGAUGACGGCCUUCGGGUUGUAAACCGCUUUCGCCUGUGACGAAGCGUGAGUGACGGUAAUGGGUAAAGAAGCACCGGCUAACUACGUG
rnacentral:rRNA from 1 species